UAGAGUCCCUUCCCUCCUAUCAUGGAUAUAAUCCAAUUGCCAAUUACUAUCAUGGCUUCUAAGGGACCUGUCUGUCUCAGUUAUGUAUUUCUCAAGCCCGAAGAAGCAACUUUCAUCGAGCUCAUUCGCCUCCUCUUUUCCUCUGACAUAGAAAAGAGAAACUUCAUCACCUCCUCGGCAGUAAGAAAACUUGACUUCAAACGGAGGUUGUUAAUCUUCUUCUCUACCGUGAUUCAAUGCAUCCUCCUUCUCUUCAGAAAACCCAUGGCUUGGCUUGGGGGUGUUCUGGAGAAGUGGCUAAAUCUUGUAUCAAGCAACGGUGGAUUGCUCAUGCUCAUCCUAAACUGGCUAAAAGGAAAGGUGGUGAUACCAGAUACAUCAUCAACCAAAUCCCUGCUUGGAUUUCUUGACACACGAAUUAAAUUAGACGACAACAUGAAACCUGACGACACAAGAUAUAAAGGGUCGCUGUCCAUGAUGGCAGCCAAAUUGUCGUACGAGAAUGAAGAAUUCAGCUGAAAAAGUUGUCAGUGAAUACUGGAAGAUGAAACUCGUGGCGUUCUACAAAUUUUGGAAUGGUUACGAGAAACGAGAAUCAACCCAAGCCUUCAUGUUCCAAGACACAACAUCUGACCCCAACUUGGUUUGGGUCGCAUUUAGAGGCACCGAACCAUUCAGCGCCGACGAUUGGAGGACAGAUUUUGACAGUCUCAUGGUGCGAGUUUGCCGGAAUCAGCAAGACCCACGGAGGCUUCAUGAAAGCUCUCGGCAUGCAAACAGAGCAAAGCUGGCCCCUCGAACCGGAAACAGAAGAUCAUGAGUUCGCAUACUACAAAAUCAGACAAAUUCUGAUGGAUUUAUUGGAAGAAAACAAGAAUGCCAAAUUUAUAUUGACAGGUCACAGCUUGGGAGGGGCACUGGCGGUGCUGUUUGCGUCGGUGCUGGCAAUGCAUGACUACGAGGAGAAAUAUGCAUGGUUGAUGGAGAGGCUGGAGGGAGUGUACACCUUUGGACAGCCAAGGGUGGGGGAUGAGAAAUUUGCGGGCUAUGUGACGAAGAAGCUGAAAAAUUAUGGGGUGAGGUAUAUGAGGUAUGUUUAUUCCAAUGACUUGGUGCCUAGGGUACCAUUUGAUGAUACAACCCUAUUGUUUAAGCACGUUGCUCCAUGCCUUUAUUUCAACAGCUUCUAUAAAGGGAAGGAGUUGGAGGAGGCACCCAACAAGAACUACUUCAAUUUGCUAUUCUUCAUACCGAUGCGGUUAAAUGCAUUGUGGGAGCUGAUUAGGAGUUUCAUACUCCCAUUAAUAAAGGGUUCAGAAUACAAGGAAAGCUGGCUUAUGAUAAUGGCUAGGUUUUUUGGUUUAAUAUUUCCUGGAUUGGUAGCUCAUGCUCCUCAAGAUUAUGUCAAUGUUACUCGAUUGGGAUCGAUCCCGUCCCACAUGCCACUCCCAAAGCUUACCUCCAGAAAAUAAAUCUAAAGUUAAUUCAAGUUAUGUUAGUCUAGCUACUAAUAAUCCAACUGGACAAACGAUACACUACUAAAAAAAAGUUACUUUCGCAGCAAAACUUCUCCCGAAAAACAUGGUGUUUGCUGGGAAAGGUUGACAAACCAAAUAAAUUCGUUAUGUUAUAUGCUAUAGCCUAUAUUCAACUUUAUCUAUUGUAUGUAUCGAUGUUAUGGAAUAAAUCAUUCACGAGUGAAUUUAUUUACCGAUGAUA